AAUCUGGGGUCCCCGACCUCCGAGUUGUAAUUUGGAGAGGCAUCUUCGGGGAGGGGGCGCGGGCCCAUGUUCCUUGGAACAGGACGUCGCAGAGGGUGAGAAUCCCGUGCCAGGCCGGCCGCCUCCGCCCCGGUGGAGGGCCUUCGACGAGUCGAGUUGUUUGGGAAUGCAGCUCCAAGUGGGUGGUAAAUUUCAUCUAAAGCUAAAUACCGGCGGGAGACCGAUAGCGCACAAGUAGAGUGAUCGAAAGAUGAAAAGCACUUUGAAAAUAGAGUCAAAAAGUACGUGAAAUUGUUGAAAGGGAAGCGCUUGGGACCAGACUCGGACCCGGGCAAACACCGCGCCCCCCCCCCGGGGCCGUGCAAUUGCCUGGGGCCGGGCCAGCAUCGGUUGGCGUGGCGGGACAAAGGCGCGGGGAAUGUGGCUCCCCUCGGGGAGUGUUACCAGGCCCGCGCCCAAUGCCGCCUACGCCGACUGAGGACCGCGCCGCCCGGCUAGGAUGCUGGCUUAAUGGCCUUCAGCGACCCGUCUUGAAACACGGACCAAGGAGUCUAACACCUAUGCGAGUGUUUGGGCUUGAAACCCUUGCGCGGAAUGAAAGUGAGCGGAGGUGGGAACCCCCCCCGCGGGGCGCACCAUCGACCGAUCCUGAUGUCUUCGGAUGGAUUUGAGUA
rnacentral:rRNA from 1 species